rnacentral:piRNA from 1 species
UCUUUGACUAGGUGUAUGAUCAAAGUCAG